CGGGGGGGGCAAGCGUUGUUCGGAAUUACUGGGCGUAAAGGGCUCGUAGGCGGCCAACUAAGUCGGAUGUGAAAUCCCCAGGCUCAACUUGGGAACUGCAUCCGAUACUGGAUGGCUUGAAUCCGGGGAGAGGGAUGCAGAAUUCCAGGUGUAGCGGUGAAAUGCGUAGAUAUCUGGAGGAAUACCGGUGGCGAAGGCGGCAUCCUGGACCGGCAUUGACGCUGAUGAGCGAAAGCUAGGGGAGCAAACGGGAUUAGAUACCCCGGUAGUCCUAGCCCUAAACGGUGAAUGCUUGGUGUGGCGGGUAUCGAUCCCUGCCGUGCCGAAGCUAACGCAUUAAGCAUUCCGCCUGGGGAGUACGGUCGCAAGGCUG
rnacentral:rRNA from 1 species